CUGUUACAGAGAAAGUCACUUGGUGUAAAACAGAAAAGGUAGAGUCAGAUCUGCAGUAGCAAAUGGAAUACACAUGAAGAAAAACAAAAAGAGCACUUGGAAUACUGGAGUCGUCAUGAAGCCACCAGGUUCCAGAUGCCAGCAAUAUGCUGAAUAGACUUCCCUGGACAGACGACCCCAUCAAUGUGUACUGGAUCUCCACUUCCUCAGAGACCCACCCUACUAGGGAAAGAGAGAGGCAGACUGGGAGUAUGGAUCGACCAGUCAACGCCCAUGUUCAGCGGGGAAGCAAUUACAGAAGCCAGACCUUCCACCCUCUGCAGCCCACAAUGAC